rnacentral:rRNA from 2 species
UACGAAGGGUGCAAGCGUUACUCGGAAUUACUGGGCGUAAAGCGUGCGUAGGUGGUUUGUUAAGUCUGCUGUGAAAGCCCCGGGCUCAACCUGGGAAUGGCAGUGGAUACUGGCAAGCUAGAGUGCGGUAGAGGGGUGUGGAAUUCCCGGUGUAGCGGUGAAAUGCGUAGAGAUCGGGAGGAACACCAGUGGCGAAGGCGGCACCCUGGACCAGCACUGACACUGAGGCACGAAAGCGUGGGGAGCAAACAGG